rnacentral:rRNA from 1 species
GAUGAACGCUGGCGGCGUGCCUAAUACAUGCAAGUCGAGCGAACGGACGAGAAGCUUGCUUCUCGGAUGUUAGCGGCGGACGGGUGAGUAACACGUGGAUAACCUACCUAUAAGACUGGGAUAACUUCGGGAAACCGGAGCUAAUACCGGAUGAUAUUUUGAACCGCAUGGUUCAAAAGUGAAAGACGGUCUUGCUGUCACUUAUAGAUGGAUCCGCGCUGCAUUAGCUAGUUGGUAAGGUAACGGCUUACCAAGGCAACGAUGCAUAGCCGACCUGAGAGGGUGAUCGGCCACACUGGAACUGAGACACGGUCCAGACUCCUACGGGAGGCAGCAGUAGGGAAUCUUCCGCAAAGGGCGAAAGCCUGACGGAGCAACGCCGCGUGAGUGAUGAAGGUCUUCGGAUCGUAAAACUCUGUUAUUAGGGAAGAACAUAUGUGUAAGUAACUGUGCACAUCUUGACGGUACCUAAUCAGAAAGCCACGGCUAACUACGUG